UACGGAGGGUGCAAGCGUUAAUCGGAAUUACUGGGCGUAAAGCGCACGUAGGUGGUUUGUUAAGCCAGCUGUGAAAUCCCCGGGCUCAACCUGGGCACUGCAGUUGGAACUGGCAAGCUAGAGUAGGGUAGAGGGGUGUGGAAUUCCAGGUGUAGCGGUGAAAUGCGUAGAUAUCUGGAGGAACAUCAGUGGCGAAGGCGACACCCUGGACUCAUACUGACACUGAGGUGCGAAAGCGUGGGGAGCAAACGGG
rnacentral:rRNA from 1 species